GUGCCUAAAACUAACAGUAAGGAAAACCGUCCAACCUUGCUGACUGCUCGGUUGAUUGGCUUCUAGGCAGUAUGGUGAGAGCAUCGCUCUUUUGGGGUGUUCUCAUUUUACGAAGCGCUAAUUUUUGAAUGGGUACAGGUCGUCCCUUUGAACUCAUGCGCUCACUACUUUUCGAGUUGUAGAGUUUGGGUGAAGCGAUCUACCCU